UACGUAGGGUGCGAGCGUUGUCCGGAAUUAUUGGGCGUAAAGGGCUCGUAGGCGGUCUGUCACGUCGAGAGUGAAAACUCAGGGCUUAACCCUGAGCCUGCUUCCGAUACGGGCAGACUAGAGGUAUGCAGGGGAGAACGGAAUUCCUGGUGUAGCGGUGAAAUGCGCAGAUAUCAGGAGGAACACCGGUGGCGAAGGCGGUUCUCUGGGCAUUACCUGACGCUGAGGAGCGAAAGUGUGGGGAGCGAACAGG
rnacentral:rRNA from 1 species